CACGUAGGGUCCGAGCGUUGUCCGGAAUUACUGGGCGUAAAGCGCGCGCAGGCGGUUGGUCGCAUCGGCGGUGAAAGCCCCCCGCUUAACGGGGGAGGGUCCGUCGAGAUGGACUGACUGGAGGCAGGGAGAGGGCGGUGGAAUUCCGGGUGUAGUGGUGAAAUGCGUAGAGAUCCGGAGGAACACCAGUGGCGAAGGCGGCCGCCUGGACCUGACCUGACGCUGAGGCGCGAAGGCGCGGGGAGCGAACGGG
rnacentral:rRNA from 1 species